UAGGGAAUCUUCGGCAAUGGACGGAAGUCUGACCGAGCAACGCCGCGUGAGUGAAGAAGGUUUUCGGAUCGUAAAGCUCUGUUGUUAGAGAAGAACGUUGGUAGGAGUGGAAAAUCUACCAAGUGACGGUAACUAACCAGAAAGGGACGGCUAACUACGUGCCAGCAGCCGCGGUAAUACGUAGGUCCCGAGCGUUGUCCGGAUUUAUUGGGCGUAAAGCGAGCGCAGGCGGUUCUUUAAGUCUGAAGUUAAAGGCAGUGGCUUAACCAUUGUACGCUUUGGAAACUGGAGGACUUGAGUGCAGAAGGAGAGAUUGGAAUUCCAUGUGUAACGGUGAAAUGCGUAGAUAUAUGGAGGAACUCCUGUGGCGAAAGCGGGUCUCUGGUCUGUAACUGCCGCUGAGGCUCGAAAGCGUGGGGUGCAAACAGG
rnacentral:rRNA from 1 species